rnacentral:tRNA from 1 species
GGCGGCGUAGCUCAGUAGGUAAGAGCACACGGCUCAUAAUCGUGGGGUCGUCGGUUCGAGUCCGACCGCCGCUACCA